UGGUGGCGAUAGCGAAGAGGUCACACCCGUUCCCAUGCCGAACACGGAAGUUAAGCUCUUCAGCGCCGAUGGUAGUUGGGGGCUUCCCCCUGUGAGAGUAGGACGCCGCCAAGCG
rnacentral:rRNA from 4 species